rnacentral:lncRNA from 1 species
UUGGAGAAAGUGAGCUUCUUCAGGGCAAAAUUAGCGAAGGUCCCAGCACCAGGGGUCAAGUCCACAACCUUACCGUGGUCCUUCAACUGAGGCUCGAAUGUAGUGAAAGGAAUACCUGUGGUGCAAUUGAUAACAGCAUCGUAUUUCUUGCCUGAAGGGCUUAUGAGAGCUGCUCCCUCUGGGGUCCUGUAGUCGAUAACCUCAUCCGCACCUAGGCUCUUGACGAAAUCAAAGUUGCGAGCUCCACAAGUUGCAGUUACAUGGAUGUUACCCAACUUUGCCAGUUGUACAGCAUAGUGACCUACACCUCCUGAUGCAGCUGUUACAAGGACAUUAGC